UACGUAGGCAGCAAGCGUUGUUCGGAGUUACUGGGCGUAAAGGGUGUGUAGGCGGCUGCUUACGUUUGGUGUGAAAUCUCCCGGCUUAACUGGGAGGGUGCGCCGAAUACUGAGUGACUAGAGUGCGGGAGAGGAGAGUGGAAUUCCUGGUGUAGCGGUGAAAUGCGUAGAUAUCAGGAGGAACACCGGUGGUGUAGACGGCUCUCUGGACCGUAACUGACGCUGAGACACGAAAGCGUGGGUAGCAAACAGG
rnacentral:rRNA from 1 species